rnacentral:rRNA from 1 species
CCUACGGGGGUCAGCAGUGGGGAAUAUUGGACAAUGGGGGGAACCCUGAUCCAGCGACGCCGCGUGAGUGAAGAAGUAUUUCGGUAUGUAAAGCUCUAUCAGCAGGGAAGAAAGAAAUGACGGUACCUGACGAAGAAGCCCCGGCUAACUACGUGCCAGCAGCCGCGGUAAUCCGUAGGGGGCAAGCGUUAUCCGGAUUUACUGGGUGUAAGGGGAGCGUAGACGGCGAUGCAAGUCUGAAGUGAAAGGCGGGGGCCCAACCCCCGGACUGCUUUGGAAACUGUAUGGCUGGAGUGCAGGAGAGGUAAGUGGAAUUCCUAGUGUAGCGGUGAAAUGCGUAGAUAUUAGGAUGAACACCAGUGGCGAAGGCGGCUUACUGGACUGUAACUGACGUUGAGGCUCGAAAGCGUGGGGAGCAAACAGGAUUAGAUACCCUUGUAGUC